UUGCUCUUUAACCAGUGAGUGGCGGACGGGUGAGUAACACGUGGGUAACCUGCCCAUUAGAGGGGGAUAACAUUCGGAAACGGAUGCUAAUACCGCAUAGUUUCAGGAAUCGCAUGAUUCUUGAAGGAAAGGUGGCUUCGGCUACCACUAAUGGAUGGACCCGCGGCGUAUUAGCUAGUUGGUGAGGUAAUGGCUCACCAAGGCAAUGAUACGUAGCCGACCUGAGAGGGUGAUCGGCCACACUGGGACUGAGACACGGCCCAGACUCCUACGGGAGGCAGCAGUAGGGAAUCUUCCGCAAUGGACGAAAGUCUGACGGAGCAACGCCGCGUGAGUGAAGAAGGUUUUCGGAUCGUAAAACUCUGUUGUUAAAGAAGAACAAGGAUGAGAGUAACUGCUCAUCCCCUGACGGUAUUUAACCAGAAAGCCACGGCUAACUACGUGCCAGCAGCCGCGGUAAUACGUAGGUGGCAAGCGUUGUCCGGAUUUAUUGGGCGUAAAGCGAGCGCAGGCGGUUCUUUAAGUCUGAUGUGAAAGCCCCCGGCUCAACCGGGGAGGGUCAUUGGAAACUGGAGAACUUGAGUGCAGAAGAGGAGAGUGGAAUUCCACGUGUAGCGGUGAAAUGCGUAGAUAUGUGGAGGAACACCAGUGGCGAAGGCGACUCUCUGGUCUGUAACUGACGCUGAAGCUC
rnacentral:rRNA from 1 species